UACGUAGGGUGCGAGCGUUAAUCGGAAUUACUGGGCGUAAAGCGUGCGCAGGCGGUUUUGUAAGCCAGAUGUGAAAUCCCCGAGCUUAACUUGGGAACUGCAUUUGUGACUGUAGAGCUGGAGUACGGCAGAGGGGGAUGGAAUUCCGCGUGUAGCAGUGAAAUGCGUAGAUAUGCGGAGGAACACCGAUGGCGAAGGCAAUCCCCUGGGCCUGUACUGACGCUCAUGCACGAAAGCGUGGGGAGCAAACAGG
rnacentral:rRNA from 1 species